GAUGAACGCUGGCGGCGUGCCUAACACAUGCAAGUCGAGCGAAGCGGGGACGGGUGAGUAACACGUGGAUAACCUCCUAUAAGACUGGGAUAACUUCGGGAAACCGGAGCUAAACCGGAUACUUAUCGAUGGAUCCGCGCUGCAUGAGCUAGUUGGUAAGGUAACGGCUUACCAAGGCAACGAAGCAUAGCCGAACGGAGAGGGUGAUCGGCCACACGGGAACGUGGAAGCGGUCAAGACGCCUACGGGAGGCAGCAGUAGGGAAUCGUCCGCAAUGGGGGAAAGCCUUACGGAGCAACGCGGCGUGAGUGAUGAAGGUCUUCGGAGCGUAAAGCUCUGUUAUGAGGGAAGCGGUACCUGAACAGAAAGCCACGGCUAACUACGUGCCAGCAGCCGCGGUAAUUC
rnacentral:rRNA from 1 species